ACCUGGGUGGCUCAGUGGUUAAGCGUCUGACUUCGGCUCAGGUCAUGAUCUCACAGUUUUUGUGAGUUCGAGCCCCACAUCAGGCU
rnacentral:tRNA from 1 species